UUGAACGCUGGCGGCAGGCCUAACACAUGCAAGUCGAACGGUAACAGGAAGAAGCUUGCUUCUUUGCUGACGAGUGGCGGACGGGUGAGUAAUGUCUGGGAAACUGCCUGAUGGAGGGGGAUAACUACUGGAAACGGUAGCUAAUACCGCAUAACGUCGCAAGACCAAAGAGGGGGACCUUCGGGCCUCUUGCCAUCGGAUGUGCCCAGAUGGGAUUAGCUAGUAGGUGGGGUAACGGCUCACCUAGGCGACGAUCCCUAGCUGGUCUGAGAGGAUGACCAGCCACACUGGAACUGAGACACGGUCCAGACUCCUACGGGAGGCAGCAGUGGGGAAUAUUGCACAAUGGGCGCAAGCCUGAUGCAGCCAUGCCGCGUGUAUGAAGAAGGCCUUCGGGUUGUAAAGUACUUUCAGCGGGGAGGAAGGGAGUAAAGUUAAUACCUUUGCUCAUUGACGUUACCCGCAGAAGAAGCACCGGCUAACUCCGUGCCAGCAGCCGCGGUAAAACGGAGAGUGCAAGCGUUAAUCGGAAUUACUGGGCGUAAAGCGCACGCAGGCGGUUUGUUAAGUCAGAUGUGAAAUCCCCGGGCUCAACCUGGGAACUGCAUCUGAUACUGGCAAGCUUGAGUCUCGUAGAGGGGGGUAGAAUUCCAGGUGUAGCGGUGAAAUGCGUAGAGAUCUGGAGGAAUACCGGUGGCGAAGGCGGCCCCCUGGACGAAGACUGACGCUCAGGUGCGAAAGCGUGGGGAGCAAACAGGAUAAGAUACCCUGGUAGUCCACGCCGUAAACGAUGGCGACUUGGAGGUUGUGCCCUUGAGGCGUGGCUUCCGGAGCUAACGCGUUAAGUCGACCGCCUGGGGAGUACGGCCGCAAGGUUAAAACGCAAAUGAAUUGACGGGGGCCCGCACAAGCGGUGGAGCAUGUGGUUUAAUUCGAUGCAACGCGAAGAACCUUACCUGGUCUUGACAUCCACGGAAGUUUUCAGAGAUGAGAAUGUGCCUUCGGGAACCGUGAGACAGGUGCUGCAUGGCUGUCGUCAGCUCGUGUUGUGAAAUGUUGGGUUAAGUCCCGCAACGAGCGCAACCCUUAUCCUUUGUUGCCAGCGGUCCGGCCGGGAACUCAAAGGAGACUGCCAGUGAUAAACUGGAGGAAGGUGAGGAUGACGUCAAGUCAUCAUGGCCCUUACGACCAGGGCUACACACGUGCUACAAUGGCGCAUACAAAGAGAAGCGACCUCGCGAGAGCAAGCGGACCUCAUAAAGUGCGUCGUAGUCCGGAUUGGAGUCUGCAACUCGACUCCAUGAAGUCGGAAUCGCUAGUAAUCGUGGAUCAGAAUGCCACGGUGAAUACGUUCCCGGGCCUUGUACACACCGCCCGUCACACCAUGGGAGUGGGUUGCAAAAGAAGUAGGUAGCUUAACCUUCGGGAGGGCGCUUACCACUUUGUGAUUCAUGACUGGGGUG
rnacentral:rRNA from 1 species